ensembl:lncRNA
GUGUGUCUGUGCCGGUGCACAGCUGUGUGUUGUUUGCUUUCAGUCCUUGGCUCUGUGGGGCUCUGUCAGCCAUGCCAUCAACCUGGAAAGGGCAGAGGAGACUGAUUGAAGUCCAAGCCGUGGAGGCCUGUACGUUGCUCAGUCUGCUGUACUCGGGUCAGUUGAAUGAGGACAAAGAGGAAGUCCUAUCAGCAGCCUGUAAACUCGGCAUCGACAUACCUCAGCAAGUAUCAAAGAGGCCGGCAACUAAGCAAAACACACAGACAGAGUGCAUGAAAGAGAUGCAGGAGAGAGAGUAUCAAACCGAGGCUGUUCCUUCUGAAUGUUAAAACCCCAAAGGGACCAUUGAACGUGUUCAUCUGAUCGGGAUGUCAUCAUGGAGGACUGAUCAGGGGCUCUGCACGUACACUGAUGGCCCUGAUAUCACUUGCACAGUUUGAGAACAAUAUCCCAGGUUUUAUCAAUUACUUUCUUGAGACCAACAUCGCGCAGGGUGCAGGGCAAAGGGAGCAGAGUCAGAGAGGGGACCUCAAAACUGAGGGAAGGGCGACGAGGGUGCGGAGGGCGGGAGCAUGCGGAGGAUUUGCUUUGAAGGGAGAAGGAUUGAGAAUUUGUAAAAGAGAGCAAAAUAUGAAUAGGUGCGGAAGCGUGGCGAGGUCGGCCUGGAUGGGGCAAGGUGGUGGUAGGGUUGGCAGGAUGCUAGACACCAAACAAAUGUUCAAGAAUCAAGAGAAGCUUAAACGGAGACGACAAGGCAGAGGAGCGAUGAAAGAGGGAGGCAGAUCAAGGGGCAGACCCAGGCAGAGACAGACAGGAAGCAGAGGCAGAUUGGUAGAACCAGUGUGUCAGGAUACAGCUCCACCUCAAAGAGGGCGAAGAGGUCGACCCCGCAAACGUCCCUUGCCCAGACCAGAUCUUUCCCAAAAUUUCAAUGGAAUUUCACCACCUGAUCAGAAAACCUUGAACCCUCCAGCUCCAUCCAUGUCGCAUACCACAGCCCUCCCAGCAGCCAAUCAGACCAGCCUCACUCAACCAAUGGACUGGCUUAUAGAUGACGUCAUUGCGCAGCUCUCAUUUAUGCCCAGCAAUCAAAAUGGAAUAACUGUAGAUUCCAACAUGGAUCAUACAAGAACACAGUCCUCAGUUAAGCUCACAGAUCUGGGUAUAAUCCAACCGCAGUCUGAAGGUGAACAUACUUGA